rnacentral:lncRNA from 1 species
AUACCAUGAAUGGUUUAUGAAUUAACACAUGUUGGUAAGCCUGAUAUAUGAAUAAAUGAUCAAAUUGAGCGGAACGCCAGAUUUGAGUACUUCUGAUCAAGUGACAAAGUGAUAAGUGGUAGCUUUAGCUACACUUAUCUGAUCAAGUGACAAGUGGAAAGUGAUAAGUAAUAGCUUCGGCUAUACUUAUCUGAUCAAGUGACAAAGUGAUAAGUGAUAGCUUCAGCUACACUUAUCUGAUCAAGUGACAAGUGGAAAGUGGAAAGUGAUAAGUGAUAGCUUCGGCUACACUUAUUUGAUCAAGUGACAAGUGAAAAGUGAUAAGUGAUAGCUUCGGCUAUACUUAUCUGAUCAAGAGACAAAGUGAUAAGUAAUAGCUUUAGCUACACUUAUCUGAUCAAGAGACAAAGUGAUAAGUGGCUACACUUAUCUGAUCAAGAGACAAAGUGAUAAGUGGCUACACUUAUCUGAUCAAGAAACAAAGUGAUAGGUGGCUACACUUAUCUGAUCAGGGACAAGUGAUAAGUGAUCAUACGUAAGACCAUAGUUAUACUAUGGCAAAGUGAAAGUGAAGUACUCAAUUUUUCCGUGACCGUUCCCUAAUUUGAUUAAGGAUGGUAAGUGACAAAUGGGCCCAAAAGAAUUAAAGUAAAUGGAUAAGUGGUAGUGUAUUUAUAUCAGGACGAUGUUGUUAUUCAAACUAAAGUGAUAUUUUCAUUGCUAAAUUGAGAAUUUCAUAAAUGUGUUAUUGAAUGGUAUAAUCAAUAAACAUUGAGUUAAAUGGUAAAUACGUAUUAGUUUUGAAUUUGAUGUCAUUGAAUUGUACGUGAAUUAAAUGGAAAUUACUAGUGAUAUGAUUUAAAUUAUGAGCAUGAGAAAUUGCGAAUUGAAUGAAAUGGAAAUGAAGCAUUAAAUUGCAUGAGUAUGUAUCGGGUCUCGCAGGCCCUAAUUAUUAUGAUUAUAAUAUUUUG